rnacentral:rRNA from 1 species
UAGGGAAUCUUCGGCAAUGGGGGGAACCCUGACCGAGCAACGCCGCGUGAGUGAAGAAGGUUUUCGGUUCGUAAAGCUCUGUUGUUAAGGAAGAACGAGUGUGAGAAUGGAAAGUUCAUACUGUGACGGUACUUAACCAGAAAGGGACGGCUAACUACGUGCCAGCAGCCGCGGUAAUACGUAGGUCCCGAGCGUUGUCCGGAUUUAUUGGGCGUAAAGCGAGCGCAGGCGGUUAGAUAAGUCUGAAGUUAAAGGCAGUGGCUCAACCAUUGUAGGCUUUGGAAACUGUUUAACUUGAGUGCAGAAGGGGAGGGUGGAAUUCCAUGUGUAGCGGUGAAAUGCGUAGGUAUCUGGAGGAACCCCAGAGGCGAAGGCGACUCUCUGGUCUGUAUCAGACGCUGAGGCUCGAAAGCGUGGGUAGCAAACAGG